GACGAACGCUGGCGGCGUGCCUAACACAUGCAAGUCGAACGGGGCAGCAAUGCCCAGUGGCGAACGGGUGCGUAACACGUGAGGAACUUGUCCAUCGGCGGGGAUAGCCGGCCCAACGGCCGGGUAAUACCGCGUACGUCGGCGAGACCGCAUGGUCUUGCCGGGAAAGCAGCAAUGCACCGAUGGAGAGCCUCGCGGCCUAUCAGCUAGUUGGUGAGGUAAUGGCUCACCAAGGCGACGACGGGUAGCCGGCCUGAGAGGGUGUACGGCCACACUGGAACUGAGAUACGGUCCAGACUCCUACGGGAGGCAGCAGUGGGGAAUAUUGGGCAAUGGGAGGAAAUCCUGACCCAGCGACGCCGCGUGAACGAAGACGGCCUCGGUGUAAGUC
rnacentral:rRNA from 1 species